CACAGUGCGCUUGCAGGCUGUCCCUAAUUUUCCAUGAAUUUUCCUCGGGGAACUGAAACGCACUACUGGUACCUGCACGUGUUCCAAAAAAAACCCAAAUUAGGCCCAGGGCCUCUUUCGGCCCAAAUCGCAACUCCGGCACGGCGGCUACGCCGUGCUCCGGCGGCGGCGAGUCACCUCGGGUUGGCCGUUUUUGGCCGAAUUCGACCACACUCGCAUCAGUCCCUGUGAGAAAACAACCCUAGGACCCUCGGGGGGCCAAAAAAUCACGGAAAAAUGGAGCUUACCGGCGGCGGCGCUCUCGGGUGCGGCGGCUCUCCGGCGAGGUUCGUGUUUUGGUGAUUCGGCUUCGGUCAACCUGUAGAGAAAAGAAUGGUGAUCACGGUGAUAUAAAAAUUGCAUCAAACGGAGGCCGGGAAGGG
rnacentral:lncRNA from 1 species